GUUUAUAGCCAUGCCACCCUGAACAUGCCCAAUCUCGUCUGAUGUCGCAAGCUAAGCAGGGUCAGGCCUGGUUAGUACUUGGAUGGGAGACCACCUAAGAAUACCAGGUACUGUAGGCA
rnacentral:rRNA from 1 species